rnacentral:rRNA from 1 species
UACGAAGGGGGCUAGCGUUGUUCGGAAUUACUGGGCGUAAAGCGCGUGUAGGCGGGUCUUUAAGUCAGGGGGGAAAUGCCAGGGCUCAACCUUGGAACUGCCUUUGAUACUGGAGACCUUGAGUCCGGGAGAGGUGAGUGGAAUUGCGAGUGUAGAGGUGAAAUUCGUAGAUAUUCGCAAGAACACCAGUGGCGAAGGCGGCUCACUGGCCCGGAACUGACGCUGAGACGCGAAAGCGUGGGGAGCAAACAGG